CUGACCGUUGGGGCCGGGGGCUUCUUUCCUUUCCCGGCCCUAACUCGGUGGGACCUGGCAUGGCUUUGUAGCUGGGCCAGGAUGCUGAGUUAACACUGCGCCCCCCCCACACACACACUGCCAGGGGGAGAAAAACGGCAGCGUGGUGCCCGAUCGGCCAGCCAGAGGGCUGCAGUCGGUGGGCAGACACGGCGCUGGAGCAGAGCCAGCACAAGCUGAGGGGUGCAGGAGUGGGCCAGGCUGAUUAGCCAUGAUCCUUGGAGAGGCAGCUGCAGCACACAGCCAUGGAGUGGCCCGGGACAAGUCGAAGCGGCAGCUAGAACCCUGAGGCGGAGGCAGCCACGAAGCAAACCUCUGCAGAGGAGUAGCCCGAGCUCCCGCAGCAGCUCGAAGCAGAAAGGCCCCCUGCGAAGGGGCAGCAGGAACAGAACAAAACAGACGGAGAGAGAGGUCUGCUGGAACGUUUUCGGGGUUGUGGUUGGAUAUGUACAGUCUGAGGCAAGUUAACUGCAUCACUAGAGGCUUCUGAAGGCUGACAAGUGAAAGCAAAACAUCGGAGAAUCUACUUCGCAGCUUAUCAUCAGGAUCAUACAACAUCCAUUAUCAAAUAAUAUUAAUGUUGUGCAUGCCUUGGGGAAGUGUGGAGAAACUCAAGGGAAAUUUAAGACACAAUUACUUUUGCACCAAAAUGCUACACAUCCAGAAAAGCUUAUCAGAUAGGUCAGCAUUUUUCCUACACUUUCUUCAUCCAGCUACAAUGAAAAGAUUUGCUUGCCAAUAUAGACAUAUGGUCAAGGAGCUGAGUAGGAAAAAUUUACAGUACAAGUUCACUAGCAAAACAGAUAAGAGACUUGCCCAUCUAUCAUUUUUAUCUUAGAGAGAAGUCCACUUUGUUGUUAUUCAGCAUAAGAACUGCAGUCUUUGGUCAGAGAAUCCAGCUGCACUAAGGGAAUGCAGCUGUCCUGAUUGUUUUUUUUCCUCAUCCUUUCCUCCCAAAUUAAAAAAUAAAGGACAUUAUUCAUGC